rnacentral:rRNA from 1 species
UACGUAGGGUGCAAGCGUUGUCCGGAAUUAUUGGGCGUAAAGAGCUCGUAGGCGGUCUGUCGCGUCGGAUGUGAAAAUCCAGGGCUCAACCCUGGACCUGCAUUCGAUACGGGCAGACUAGAGUUCGGUAGGGGAGACUGGAAUUCCCGGUGUAGCGGUGAAAUGCGCAGAUAUCGGGAGGAACACCAAUGGCGAAGGCAGCUCGCUGGGACGUGACUGACGCUGAGACGCGAAAGCGUGGGGAGCAAACAGG